rnacentral:rRNA from 1 species
CAGUAGCCACGGUAAUACGAAGGGUGCAAGCGUUAAUCGGAAUUACUGGGCGUAAAGCGUGCGUAGGCGGUGAGUUAAGUCUGCUGUGAAAUCCCCGGGCUCAACCUGGGAAUGGCAGUGGAUACUGGCUCGCUAGAGUGUGUCAGAGGAUGGUGGAAUUCCCGGUGUAGCGGUGAAAUGCGUAGAGAUCGGGAGGAACAUCAGUGGCGAAGGCGGCCAUCUGGGACAACACUGACGCUGAGGUACGAAAGCAUGGGGAGCAAACAGGAUUAGAUACCCCCGUAGUCCCUGUCUCUUAUAA